rnacentral:rRNA from 1 species
GAUGAACGCUAGCGGCAGGCCUAAUACAUGCAAGCCGAACGGUAAGUUUGAUAGCAAUAUUGGACCUAGAGUGGCGCAAGGGUGCGUAACACGUAUGCAACCUGCCCGCGACAGGAGGAUAGCUCCCCGAAAGGGGAAUUAACCCUCCAUAACACCAUGAGAAGGCCUCUGAUUAUGGUUAAACCGCAAUGGGUCGCGGAUGGGCAUGCGGUUGAUUAGCUAGUUGGCGGGGUAAAGGCCCACCAAGGCGGUGAUCAAUAGGGGUUCUGAGAGGAAGGGCCCCAACACUGGCACGGGGAGACGGGCCAGACUACGACGGGAGGCAGCAGUAGGGAAUAUUGGACAAUGGUUGCAAGACUGAUCCAGCCAUGCCGCGUGCAGGAAGAAGGCCUUCUGGGUCGUAAACUGCUUUUUCCUGUGGAGAAAAGACCCGGGCGCGGGGAAGUGAAGGUAACAGGGGAAUAAGCCACGGCUAACUACGUG